AAAUAGAUGGAUAAAAGAGGGAGAGAAAGAGGAAAAGAGAAAACACGCGAAGCCACCAUUUUGGUCUCCGUUCUCGUCCACGGAGGCGGCGACUUCCGCCGUGCGGCGCCUGGCCGGCUAUACCGCCGGAACCGGCGGUGACGCGCUGCGAUCGACGCUUCCCUCCCUCUCUAGCGCGGGUCCGUGCACGUGUCCGAAGCUGAUUGGUCCCUGGUGGGCUGACGCACGGUCGCGGCCGUAGAUAGAGGGGGGGACGAUAUGAUGUUCCUCCAGAGUCCUCGAGAGUCGGUGUGAGCAUCUUUUUCCUCUUUCAGAUUCCCGUACAAUAUAAGCCCCGAGCCUUUGGGUUUCCUCUCUUUUUCCUUCUUGUCACGGUCCUCGCUUGCGACCACCGCCAGCGAAGAGGAGUGAAGCACGGGUUGGGGGAGGAAUUAGGGGAGAGAUCUCGAUCGGGAGGCGGCGCCUGUCGGCCAGACCUGGCGGCUGGGAUCGGUUUCGGUCGCUGUUCCACCAGCUCACGGCCGAUUUGUGGUUAAUGGUUGGGGUGUUGGUCACACGCUUUUGUCGCUGACCGCAGGUGUCUUUACAUGGGACUUUGAUGCAUGACAACGAUAGGCGCCGAUUAUGAGGGAAGAAAGCUCUUCGCGUGAUAACAUGAUAGAUAGGAAUUGGCUCUUGAAGCGCAAGAGGAAAAGGAUAACGUCUGGGCUGGGUCUUUCAAAUGGAAAGGAGAGUACUUCCCGAUCUUCAGAAUCCCUGUUGAACAAUGCCGCUAAGAGGAAGAAAGGUGACAUUCACGUUUCUAGACUUGCUCGUAAGAUCAAAGGACAGGAUGGGCAUUAUUUUGAGUGUGUUGUAUGUGAUCUUGGUGGCAAUUUGCUUUGUUGUGAUAGCUGUCCUCGAACUUAUCACCUUGAAUGUCUCACUCCCCCACUUAAGCGUAUCCCAUCUGGGAAGUGGCAUUGCCGAAACUGCUCUGAGCAGAAGGCUAACAUAAAAACAUCAGAUAAUUCAGAGCCUUAUUUAAGACGCGCAAGAAUGAAGAGCAUGUUUGGAAAGCCCACAAUUUUAUACAAACAACCAGUCCAUGACAAGGCAACACUUCCAGAGAGAAACUCUGUUCCAAGAACUAAUAAUGGAAAAGCUACAUUUUCUCGUAGAACUCCAAAUCAGAAGUCUGAUUCAUCUAGAUAUGAUAAAUCAGUCAGCCCAAAAUCAAGCCACUUGUGUGAAGGUGGGCCCCAAGAUGGCAUUUUAGCAGCAACAGAUAAUAAAACUAAGAAGUCAGAUUCAUCAUUUCGACGGAAAACAAGCUCUCAUGAGAAAUCCAGGAAAAAGAAGCAAAAGCCUAGUAUGACAGAUAAGAAGAAGAAACCUAUAGCCAAAAAAGGAAAGGAUGCUUCAACAGCUGUCAGUAAUGAGCCAUCUAUGGAAACAUGUCUUAGUACUGGUGGGUCACUUCAAAACUGCAAGUCUCUUGAUCAGCAGAACUCUGCAUCUAAGGAAGAAGCCAGCAGUUCUGCUGGUGAAGAGCAGUAUGAGAUAUCAACUGAAAAAGCGAGUCGCUCAUCACAAGAAUUAGAUGAACGAAGCAUGCAAGCACAUAAGAUAACAAAACAUCAUGGGAAUCAUUGGGAUGGAGUUCAACAGGUUGAUCGCAUUCUGGGUUGUCGUCUCCAAGCUAGCACCAAGAUGUCUAGCCAAACAAUAAGGUCUCCUACUUCUUCGGAACUUGCUGAUUCUGAGAACAAUCCAGGGAGCCCAGCUAGUAGACAACCGCCUUAUGGUUUGAAUGGUCCCAGAAACAAUGACAAGUUGCUGACAGAGUGUCAAAAUCAAUGUGAAGUUGAAAUAAAGGACACAAAACGUGUUCUAACUGAGGCUUAUAAUGACAAAUCAUGUGAAUCUAAAGGAUCUUUGAAUAAUAUUCCAACAAGUGAAUGUUUGCAGGAUGAGCACAUCACAAAGGAAAAUUUUGUGGUUCUGAAGGAUUCUCCAUUAGAUAAAGCAAAUAUUGCUCUAGAAGUUUGUAUGGAAAAUUCAAAAGAUUCAGAUCUUAUCAGUGCACACAAGCAGAGUAAUUCAUAUACAGAGACUGGACCUUCUCAAUUAGCUGUUUCCUGUGUUUCAAAUGGUGAUGAUGGAUCGGUUCUUGACACACAGCCAAGCAAUAAUGAUAAAAGUAGAAUCACUGUAGAAAUGGUGCAGGACUCAGGAAAUGAGAACAAUGAUGACAUUAUCUAUGAAUUUCUUGUUAAAUGGGUGGGGCAAUCAAACACUCAUAAUACCUGGGUUCCUGAAUCCCAAUUGAAAAUUUUGGCCAAAAGAAAAUUGGAGAAUUAUAAAGCUAAAUAUGGGACUGCUAUCAUUAAUAUUUGUGAGGAACAGUGGAAGAUACCACAGCGUGUUAUUUCCCUUCGAACUUGUAAGGAUGGUAUAAAUGAAGCUUUGGUUAAAUGGUGUGGCCUUCCAUAUGAUGAAUGCACUUGGGAAAGAUUAGAUGAACCUGUAAUGAAGGAAUCAGCCCAUCGGGUAGAUGAACUGAAACGGUUAGAAUCCCAGACUUUUGAUAAGGAUAUUAAUGAUGAUUCUCAGCAAAGAAAAGGUGACUGCCAAGAUCUUCUUCCUCUUGUUGAGCAGCCAAAUGUGCUAAAAGGCGGAUUGCUUUUUCCACAUCAGCUAGAAGCUCUUAAUUGGCUACGCAAAUGCUGGUUUAAGAAUAAAAAUGUGAUUCUUGCUGAUGAGAUGGGGCUUGGAAAAACCAUAUCUGCAUGUGCUUUUAUCUCAUCUUUGUACUUUGAGUUUAAGGCUAAGCUACCCAGUUUGAUAUUAGUACCUCUUUCCACUAUGCCUAACUGGUUGGCUGAGUUUGCACUGUGGGCCCCACGUUUGAAUGUUGUGGAGUAUCAUGGCUGUGCAAAGGCGAGAUCCAUAAUACGUCAAUAUGAAUGGCAUGCCAAUAAUCCUAAAAAAUCACAUAAGCUAUCCAAGUCAUACAAGUUCAAUGUUUUGUUGACUACUUAUGAGAUGGUACUUGCUGAUUUCUCUUAUCUACGUGGAGUCCCUUGGGAGGUUCUUAUAGUUGAUGAGGGGCAUCGUUUGAAAAACUCAAGUAGUAAACUUUUUGGUUUGCUUAAUACAUUUUCUUUUCGACACCGUGUGUUAUUGACUGGAACUCCUUUGCAGAAUAACAUAGGCGAGUUGUAUAACUUACUCAACUUUUUGCAACCCGUUGCAUUCCCCUCUUUAGCAGCAUUUGAAGAGAAGUUUGAUGAUCUUACAACAGCAGAAAAGGUGGAGGAGUUGAAAAAACUUGUUGCACCACAUAUGCUUCGAAGGCUCAAGAAAGAUGCUAUGCAAAAUAUUCCUCCUAAGACUGAGCGGAUAAUUCCUGUUGAAUUGACUUCCAUCCAGGCUGAAUAUUAUCGCGCAAUGUUGACAAAAAAUUAUCAGAUAUUGCGGAACAUAGGAAAAGGUGGCGCACAGCAAUCAUUGCUAAAUAUAGUGAUGCAACUCCGGAAGGUAUGUAAUCAUCCAUAUCUUAUUCCAGGAACUGAACCUGAAUCUGGUUCCAUGGAGUUCCUUCAUGAAAUGCGGAUAAAGGCAUCAGCAAAGCUGACUUUAUUGCAUUCCAUGCUCAAGAUUUUACAUAAGGAAGGACACAGAGUCCUUAUAUUUUCUCAGAUGUCUAAGUUGCUUGAUAUUCUUGAGGAUUACCUAACUAUAGAAUUUGGCCCUAAAACAUAUGAAAGGGUGGAUGGUUCAGUACCUGUGGCAGACCGUCAAGCAGCUAUUGCUCGUUUCAAUCAAGAUAAAACACGAUUUGUGUUCUUGUUGUCCACACGUUCUUGUGGCCUUGGGAUCAAUCUGGCGACUGCUGACACUGUUAUCAUAUAUGAUUCAGAUUUCAAUCCACAUGCAGAUAUACAAGCUAUGAAUAGAGCACACAGAAUAGGGCAAUCAAAGAGACUUCUGGUUUACAGGCUUGUAGUACGUGCUAGUGUUGAGGAGCGCAUCUUACAUCUUGCUAAAAAGAAAUUGAUGCUAGAUCAACUAUUUGUGAAUAAGUCAGAAUCUCAGAAGGAAGUGGAGGACAUUCUUCGAUGGGGAGCCGGAGAGCUUUUCAGUGAUUCUGAUGCUGUGAAUGGGCAAGAUGCAAAAGAAGCCCCUACCAGCAAACUUGAUGCUGUUCCUGAUAAUGAGCAUAAACAUAGGAGGAGGACUGGAGUUUUGGGGGAUGUGUACAAAGAUAAAUGUACCGAGGGUUGUACAAAGAUUGUUUGGGAUGAAGGUGCUAUUCUAAAACUUCUUGAUCGUUCUGAUCUACAAUCAGUUUCUGAAAGCACUGAUGUGGAUCUUGAAAACAAUAUGCUUGGCUCAGUGAAGUCGGUGGAUUGGAAUGAUGAUACAAAUGAAGAACCAGAUGGGUCACAAUUGCUACCUGGUGUAGCUGUUGAUGGUUGUGAGAAAAUAUCUGAAGCAAAGGAAGAUACUGCAGUUGGUGGCUCUGAGGAAAAUGAAUGGGAUAGGCUUUUACGUGUUAGGUGGGAAAAAUAUCAGCUUGAGGAGGAAGCAGUUCUUGGUCGAGGAAAACGCUUGAGAAAAGCAGUAUCUUACAAGGAAAGCUUUGCUUCAAUACCAAGUGAAACUAUUAGUGAGAGUGGUAACGAAGAGGAGGAGCCAGAACAUGAAUAUACACAUGCAGGACGUGCUUUGAAGGAGAAGUUUGCUAGGCUCCGUGCCCGACAAAAGGAACGUAUUGCCCAGAGGCAGACUGCUGAUUUUUCUCAUUCAACAGACAGAACUGAAUUGCUGACUCAGUCAAUGGUUCAAUCUGUCCAUGAAGCCGAAGGCUUAGAAAAGAAGAUCCAAGAUGACAAUAAUGAGCAGGUUGUUACCAUCGACCAGGAGGAUGAUACAUCAACCCAACCAUUAGAUGAUAAAAGAACUGAAUCUCCUGCAAGAUUGGGAAAGUUCUUAAAGCAUGGAUAUAAAAGAUUUCAUAGUGAUCAUUUGGAUCUUUCUGUUAGACCUCCUGGAAGUCUUUCUGCAGACUUUUUUUUGCCUAGAAAUCAGUUGCAAAGCACAAACAAUGCAGUUUCAUUGCCUUCUAACAACCUUCUACCCGUUCUAGGACUAUGUGCUCCUAAUGCUAGUCAGGCUGGUUCAUCAUCCCGUAACUUCCGUUCCCCUCUGAGGCUAUCAACAUCAAGCAAUGGGCAAAGACGAAUAAGUAGCAGAAAUGUAGAAUGUCCCUUGCCUGCUGCUUCCUGUUCUAGACCUCCAAAUGAUAUGAACAUUGAGCUCAAAGAAAAAUCUGCCAGCACAUCUAUAUUGCCUGAAGCAUCUGGAGACUCCUUGCAUCACAAACUGAAGAAUAUGAUACCUGAUGGCUAUUUUCCAUUUUAUCCUCCUGCUUCUACAUCUGGAAGACCCCCUCUCGACAUUUUCGAAACUUCAAGUUCAUCAUUCACCUCAUUCCAAGAGAAGCUGGGCCUUCCAAACUUAACUUUUGAUGUUAAUAUGGCACCAAAGUUCUCAAUACCACCAAAGAAUUUGAUGAAGCCACAUUCAGAUCUCUUGCCUAGCUUGUCAUUAACCAUGGAAUACAUAAAUAGUUCUUUCCAGGAAUUGCCAAAUAUGCCAGUGUUACCCAAUUUCAGGCAACAGCUGAGUGAUUCCCUGAAGCAAAAACAGCAGAUGACAGAGUUAAAAUCAAGGCUCGAUAUAGGUCCAAUGCCAGGCACGCGUUCAUCAUUACCAGAAAACCAUCAGAAAGUUCUUGACAACAUAAUGAUGCGAACCCAGUCUGCAACAAAUAAGUUGUUCAAGAAGAGAUUAAAAGCAGAUGCAUGGUCAGAAGAUGAACUUGAUGCUCUUUGGAUUGGUGUUCGUAGGCAUGGAAGGGGUAAUUGGGAUGCCAUGCUCAGGGAUCCCAAAUUGAGAUUCUCAAAAUAUAGAACUAUUGAAGAUUUAUUUUUACGAUGGACAGAAGAGCAGCAAAAGAUAAUUGAUACACCAGCAUUUUCAGCACCAAAAUCAUCAAAGCCUCUAUCUUUUCCUGAAAUCUCUGAUGGCAUGAUGACUCGGGCUCUGCUUGGAGGCCAGUUACCUGGUCUUGGGAGUGCAUGGCCGAAAUCAUUCUCAGACCUGACGGACAUUCAAUUGGGCUGUGGUGAUUUUAAGUCUAGCUUUUCAUGCACUGAUCCAUUCAGUCACAAUAGUAGAAUUGAUGAGAAUUGUCCACAAGUCGCAGCAUGGAAAAAUGACAGACCUAGAUCAGGUUUUCAUGGGGGCUUUUAUCCUGGAGUUAGUUUGCCCUUUGAUAUGCCCUGUUCGGAUAACUUGGUUACGAGUCUCAGUAUGAAUCACCCUAGCAGUUCUGCUUUACAACAGAAUGAAGAUGAAAAUUGUGCUAUGAAGAAUUUUCCCUUGCCAGGUGUUUCAGAAAAAUUGCAGAAUCUGUUACAUGAUUCCAUUAGUAAAGUUCAUUCUAAUGAAUCCAACGUGGGCAUGACCCUUGAUCCCCACAAGCAGCAGACCUUCCUCGACUCUUCUUCCAAUAAUUCUAUUGCUUUUGGUAGCUCAAAUACAAACAAGCUGCCUCAUUGGCUUCGAGAGGCUGUCAAUAUCCCACCAUCCAGGCCACCAGAACCUGAGUUAUGCUCGACACUGCCCCCAACUGUUUCAGCAAUUGCUCAAUCUGUUCGUCUACUUUAUGGUGAAGAGAAAACAUUCCCGCCAUUUGCUAUCCCAGACCUUCCGCCAAUCCAGCCACAAGAUCCAAGAAAAAGUCUGAAAAGGAAAAGGAAGUUGGAUAGGCUUCAGCAGCUGACCCCUGAUAUUGAUGGAUUUAUAGAGAAAUUUGAUCACAGUUCUCCAGGCACAAUUCCUCCAGUUUCACAAAUAAUGGAAUCUGCACCUGAUCUUGGGAGGUCUGACCUAAAUGAAGAUUUCACUUCGCAGAACCUAAAUCUAAAUUCACCAACCUUGUCAUCAUUUGCUACACAAGAAAAAAGUUCAGGCUCAGCACUGGCAGCAUGUCCUGAAGUCUUGGAACAAGUAAAAUCUUGUAUGUCUUGUGGACCUUGUGGAUUGUCAGUAACCGAGAUGCCUGGCCCUAGCUGUCAAAGAACGGAAAUGUCCAAGUCGAAAGAUCUUGAAAUAUUCAAGCAUGACCGUAAGGGACUAAAUGAAGAUUUAGAAGACGGUCAUGGGAAACAUAAGACAGCUAGGAAUUCACUAUUGGGUUGUUGGGAUAAGAUGCUAAGCACCGAGCAGACUAGUCAGGCAGAUAAUCGAGACUCGAGUAAAACUCAGUCUGAUACAAGUAGGCCUAACCAGAUGAAUCUUAAGGAAAUGUCAUCUGAAGAAACUGUCUCGGAUAAUAAUAAAAGUGAACAUGAACAGUAAACAUUCUGGUUUCUUGUUGGCAUCCUCUUUUGCCCUCACGCUUGUGGAGCCAGAUCCAUUAACCUGCCAUCAUUGUAUUAAGUCUUAGCAAGAGUGUUAUCCAAGAGAAAGCAGUCUGAAGGUGGUUUGAGUGUCAUGGCAAAACCAGUUUGUCGAAGCCUGGUUUCGUGUGCAGCAACAUCACAGUGAGGCCAAUUUGGUGGGUGAUUAUAUUGGGGCUGCAGUUCCGAGGAGUCGGUGCUUUAUCACAAGAAGUGGUGAAGGCGAGAUUCGAGCUCAGGACUUUGCGACAAAGGUCUUUAUCAACUAAACUGUCAAAGAUUCGAGCCCACAAAUCUUACAUUUUGAUCUUUACCCUUACUAUAACCUGGUAUUAAGGCUCACAUUAUCGAUAAUUUGUAUAGGGUUGAGUGUUCUAUUUGAUCUUCCAAGAGGGCACACCAUGAAAUCACGAUAUCCGUAGGGUUGAUAGUCGUGUGUUUCCGAAGAGCCUCGAGUAGAACUUUGAUGUGAAUUGUUUGCAAUCUGAAAAGUUGUUACCUUUUAGUCAUCAAUAGAAUCUUUUUUUUUGCUACUGGGGCAUCUUAGCACUCAGGUUGUCAGGGAACAUUUUUUGCUACUGGGGCAUUUUCCCCUUGAAUUGUUUCCAUGUUAAGGAACGUU